rnacentral:lncRNA from 1 species
CUGGUGGUCUUCUCUUGGUUCCUUAUCUUCUUUUCUUCAUAAACCAUCUGAAUUUUUUAUGAUCAAUGCUAAAUUCUCAUCAUCUUCAUUAUUUUUUGAUUUUUUUAAAUCUUCUUCUUCUUGAGCCAUUGAUUUGAGGGCAAUUAUCUUCUUUCUUUUGGUCUCUUCUUCAAAAUGCUGCUUCAUGGUCAGCUCGUGGAUCAUGAGAGAUCCAAGCAGCUCCUCCAAAGGCAGGAUAUUUAAGUCUUUGGCUUCUUGAAUCGCCGUGACCUUUGCCUCCCACG